rnacentral:lncRNA from 1 species
AGAUUCAGAGGGGUAUCAUUUUGUUUGCGACAAAGCUGAUAGCGUUGCUAAGCAACGUUAGUGAUUUCCGUAACAUGAAGAGCGUCUAUUUACAAUCAGAUACCGGCUGAUUCCCAAUGGUGAAUCAGCCAACCGUAGGUCGGGCUCACAAGUGAAAGCGAAGGUGACGUACGAAGGACAACUGCUUUACUCAGCGUCAAAACAACGUCUCCGCAAUCAGUGCGGCGGAGUCGCGCUGCUGUGUUCAUUUGUUUGCCGGACUCGGCCCGUUAGAAUUGUGGAAAAAAAUUGUGGCUUUUAUUUCAUUCAACAGUACGCAUAAAGCAGUAUAAACAUAUUCUACACACUUCACCUUCUUUUCCUUACCUAGAAUUUUUGCCAUUUUAACUGGUGGAAAGUGCAUGCUUGCAUGUGCAAUUUUUUGAAUGAUCAGAUUCCUGCGUUUGGACCGCCGUGGUGCAGGUGUCAUGCCUUCAGGCUCUUCUAUAUUCUUCAUCGUUCCUACUCUUCUCCUGACAUUAUACCUCACGGGUCAGAAUGCUAAUCAUGCAUCAAAAGUGAUGAAUGAUUUUUUCAUCGUAACAUGGAGCGAGCUCAAACUGCCAACUGUGACCAAUUUUAACCGUCAAUUAUUACAAAAUAUUUGAAAGUCAAAUAAUAACGUGGGCACUUAAUGUUUUGGUAAAUAUUAAAAAUACUGAAAACAAUACUAUUCACCGUGGAAUUAAAUAGGAU